AAGGCAGGAGAAAAAACUUCCUUUUGGAGAGCAAGAGCAAGGGGGCAGAUAGAAUGUAGGAAGCCAAAGGCUGUUACUCCGAGUGGUGGAACCACCAGAGGAUUUCUAAUACAGAAUAGUUUAUAAAAUUAGGAUGCUAGAUUCUGCGCCCAGUGAUUGUGUUAACCUGUUGAUUCUAAAACAAGAUUGUGUGGUGUUUUCCUUCACACGCUGACUCAACUGGGUUCCAGAGAAGGUUUGACUUUUUUACUGGGCUUGCUGAGGACAGGCAGCUGGACCUGGCUUGAGGCACAAGUUGUGACCUCUAAGUUUGACACUAGAGUGCAGAUCAGAUUCAAGCAGGAUAUGGCUGCUAAAUCCCCGGCAUUGGAAGGACAGGGAAAGGCAUCAAGAGGCCCAUGCUGGAGGAGACAGUACUAUGGCCAGAAGCAGGACAUAGCAGUCACCAUCUCUCUCCCAGAGAAGCUUGUGGCUUCAGGAGGGUUUGCUCAGCAGAAUGCUAAGUCCUCUGUAAGUGGGUUCCUUUCCUCUCUCUUCGAGACACAUCUGUUCUCCACAAGCAUGUGGCCAAACGACCACCAGUGGGUACAAGGGAGUGGGGAAGCAAGCUGUUUAGCCUGGAGUGUGGAGUUAUAACAGCAUGUCCACAGCAGCCUCCAGAAGCGGGGGGGCUGCAGAAGGUGCCCAGCAGGCUUGCAAUAACUGAGCAUCCGUAGAGCUAAUGAGAUGUGCCUUUCCCAGGACACCAGGUCUCACUGCUGGCUUUCCCCUUCCCAAGCCCCUAGCAGGGAGAACAAAGCCACAGCCGUGGGGCCUGUGGCUGUCGGUGCCUCAUGAAAACAUAGGCGGCAGCUGGCCCUGACCGAAGGAUCUCUAUGGAAAAUGGAAACAGAACCUCAGACUCUGGCCAGGCUGGUGAAUCAAACCUUCCAUUUCAAUGAGAUGAAGUGCUAAUUGGUGUAUUGUGAACCAAGGACUCAUCAGAUGGAGAAAGAUGUGAUUUACAUGGCCGCCUGCAUCCAGGCACUGGCCUUCAGACUAACAGGAAGACAGAAGAGAUGGAGGGCACACUUACACAGGCAACGGGAGCCCAACAGGCCCACAGGCCCACGUAUACAGCUGGGCCUGGUUAUGGAGCCUCAGGGCACAUCAGCCAUCAAUCCUCGAUCACCCAAUGCCCUGACAGGAAGCUACCAAGGCCUUUUAAAAAUGCAAAUCUGAUCACAUCACUGUUCUGCCCAGGGGCUUCUGGGCACACUUAAAAGACAGGCAAGACAGCCCAGGGCUAACUAAAGCUGUGUGAAACAAAAUCUAGCAGCCUUGGAUUAGAGCCCAAAGUAUAAAACAAAUGCCCACGAGUCCACACUGACAUAAAUAAGUGAUUGAAUACAUUAGUAAAUGGGGGAGAGAGACUAGCCUCCCAUGCAAAAGGAUCAUAAAUAACUUAUGUAGGCCUCCCCCUAGCAGAAGGGAGAAUGGCUGCCUGCCCUGCAGUGGGGCAGCACACAAUGACACCCUCUCAGUAGCUAUAGGAUGGCCGAGAGCAGCCAUCCAGCCAAAUCAACACCAACAUCCAUCAGCUGACACUGGGACCCUCCAUUUUAUAAAAAUGAUACCUUUAGGCCCAAGAGUUGGCUCAACAGGCAAAUAUGCCUACCAUAUUAGCCUGGCCCCCUAACUUUAACCCUGGAACCCAUGUAAAGGUGCAAAGUGAAAGCCAGCAUCAAAAAGCUGUCCUCUGGCCCUCCAAAUAAACACCAUGGCAUGUGCUUUAUAUUUAAAAGAAAAAGGUUUAUUCAUUUUUAUUUUGUGUUUGUGAAUGUUUUGCCUGCACAUACCUGAAGCAUGUGUCUGCAAUGCCAACAGAGGCCAGCAGAGGGCGGUGGAUGCCUUAGAACUGGAGUUGCAGGCAGUUGUGAGCCAGUAUGUGGGUGCUGGGAACUGAACUGGGGGCCUCUACAGAAAUAGCCAGUGCUCUUAACUAUUCAACCAUCUCCAGAACCUUAGUUUAAAAAAAGAAAAGAUACACUUUAAAUCCAUCAUCUUCAUCCAAAAUCAUGGCCGCAGUCUAACCAUAAGAAAGACAUCAGCCAAGUUCCAGUUGAGUGGUACUUUGACCUGAACUGUUCGAACUAUCAACUAUCAAGAUCACCAAAUAAGACAGGCCUGAAAACUGCCACGACCGAGGAGCAUGUAGGCAAACUAAAAUCAAUCGUGUCCUGAGUGUCACCUGGGACAAGAAAGGGCAUUAGAGACCAACUACAGGACUCCAAGUAAUGGAGACGUCAGGUAACAAGAACAGGUCAAUAGGGGGUCAGUAACAGUGUCAUAUUAGCAUAAACAAUACUAAUAGAAAAUCAGCAGAGGGCACUGUGGGUUAGAUAAACAGAAUAUUAUUUUUUAUCUUGUAUAUUUUUCUGUAAAUCAAAACUGUACUUUAAAAAACUAUUAAUAAAAACAUUACCAAAGGAAGCAAA